rnacentral:rRNA from 1 species
AGCAGCCGCGGUAAUUCCAGCUCCAAUAGCGUAUAUUAAAGUUGCUGCAGUUAAAAAGCUCGUAGUUGAAUUUCGGGACCAUCAUGUCGGUCGUGCCUCGGUACGUACUGGCAUUGUUGGUUUCUACCUUCUGACGAACCAUGAUGUCAUUUAUUUGGUGUCGUGGGAAAUCAGGACUGUUACUUUGAAAAAAUUAGAGUGUUUAAAGCAGGCUCACGCUUGAAUACAUUAGCAUGGAAUAAUGAAAUAGGACGUUUGAUUCUAUUUUGUUGGUUUCUAGGAUCGACGUAAUGAUUAAUAGGGAUAGUUGGGGGCAUUAGUAUUCAAUUGUCAGAGGUGAAAUUCUUGGAUUUUAUUGAAGACUAACUACUGCGAAAGCAUUUGCCAAGGAUGUUUUCAUUAAUCAAGAACGAAAGUUAGGGGAUCGAAGACGAUCAGGUACCGUCGUAG